AACAAAAAAACAACACACCAAAGCAACAACUUAUUUCUUACAGCCCAGGUUUGGGAAAACUCUGACCAGCAGAGUACACUUCCUAUAGCAGUAGUGUAGGGAAGGGUGGUAGGUGUGUAACGCCAGGCUAUGAUGGACACAGCUGCCGAUGUGGCUUUUCCCAAGGUGAGCACCCCUGCUCUUACCCUGCUCCUGCUGAGUUAAUCCUUAUCCCAUGAAAAGCAAGAGCAUAUUGGUGGCCAGUUUGAUGCAUCCUCACCAGGAGCUCAGGUGAGGGCCACCUGGGUAAGCACCACACAUAAAUAAGCUGCAUAGUUCUAAACAAGGAUUUUGGCUCUGCUUUCUCAGCUCUGUUUCAAAGCAGUAACAUCUCAGGGGAAACCAAGACCCACAAAAUGACCCAUGUGGAGCAGUAGUGCACCUUGGUUUGUGCUGCUCCUGGCCAGAUAAGCCAUUUACCUGGAAACCCUCUCUGCCUGGUGGAAUUAAAGAGUAUCUUACAGCCAAUCCCACAUGAUCUGUAGGAAAAUCAGAUCACCAUUAGGUGAUCAACAGCUUCAAGAGCAAGCAAACAUGCCUGAACAUAGCCAGGUGCAGUCAGUGCGUCCAGGUGAAGCUGCAUAGAGCUUUUCCCUUUUUAUCCCUGUUCUGGUCAGAUAGCUUUUUUCAUACCCUUCAUGUAAACAACCACAGGGGUUGCAGCAGAAUAAACAAAAAUCAAACUCUUGAAUGUCAUUGCUUACCGGGAAAGAGACCAAAGUGGAGCUCCAUGAAGCCCGUGUGCAGCGCUGCAGGCACAGCCACCUUUGCUGGGGCUCUGCCCUAGCGAGGGCUGCAGCCACCUGCACUGCCUUGGGAGCCUACCUACCUUUGCAUGGAUGUACUGCAGCAGGGGAAGUCUGACAGUCACUUGUGAAAGGGAUCUGCUUAUUGUUUAACUCUGAAGCUGCCUGACUCACAGGGGAGCCCGUUCCUCUCUACGAAAUCUAAACAGACUGGAAAUGCGUGUUUUGAAAUGCUUUAAAAAUGUAAGCUAUCCAUAAAUGCAAACUGAUUGCAAAUCUGCAGCUUGAAGCAGAGGCAACAAGAAGCAUAACCCCAGUGCAAUUUAUUUUAAAAUGUUUUGUCUGUUUCCAUUUAAAGCAUUUAAAUAACCACACUGGUACCUCUACGGUCACCUGCUGUACACCUGCUGCUACCCCAGCACAGUUCUCCAGCUGCCAAGAGCUCCAAAUAUUUCAGACCUUGAUGUAGAGUGUUUCUUUCAAGAUCCUGCCUACUGGAAGCCAAGGUCCUACAGCACACCAAGCCAUGAGGCUCUGAACUGCUUCACUGAGCUUGAUUUAGUUGCCUGAGACCAGGCACCACCAAGACAAAGUUGCCAUUGUUCACUUGGAGGUGUGGCUCAGGGUAAAUAAUUUCCCAGUUUAGCUAAGAAGGCUAAACAAAAUCUGCCAGAGUGGGAUCCUAUAUGUGAUGGCAUGGCUUCAAAAGAAAAUGCUGCUGACAGUGGGCCCACUCUGUUUUCCCAUUAUCCAGGCUGCAUCCAUGGUGACACCAGGGUGAUGCUCCAGGGCUGAGGCUGGGAAAGAGCAUGAGGUUGGCCACAUGGUGGUGGUUUUCAUCUGGUGUCCCCUGCCAAGCCCACCAGGUCACCCUAUCCCUGAUCUCUUUCAAACAUGUGCCCAGGCUCCUGCCAGCUCUCAUCAGCCGCUCCCCUGGUGCCAGCAGAGUAGCAGCAAGCCAGAGAAAGGACCAGGCGGGCUUGCACCAAUAGUGUAAGGCCAGGCUUUGCCAGGUCUGGAUGGGGCUGGUGCAUCACCUCCCACCUCAGAAGUUUGCUCUUGGACUCUGCAAAAGUGGAAUUAAAGCCUCUCUGCAUUUGGUGGCAGCUUCCCUGUCCUCUUCCACUGUUUCCUGGCCAAGUCAAAGAACUGUGGAGAAUCUGUGGAUGUGCUGGCCUUGCUCCCCAUCAUUUAUCAGAGUUGUUUCCUCCUUGAGGUGUUUCAAGCUCUCUUGAAAAUUGAAACCCAGAGAAAGGACCUCUGACAUGCAAGAGGGUUAUCUCAUUGCAGCUACUUAUGUUCCCCUUUGUUCUCCACAUUUACUUUCUUUCCUCCCAUCUUCAGAGAGAGUGCAAUGAUUUAAAAAAGACACCUGACUAAGGGUUUCAUUUGAGGAGACUGAAAAAAAAAAAAAAUGUGGAGUAGAACAUGUUUUUUUCUGUUUUGCUGAAAUGGAGAUAAAAGUAUGUCCAAAAUCAUUCCACACCUGGAGCUGAGAACUGCUUGAGGACUUCUCUACAGGCAUUCAAAGACCUGAUUUAUGACAAGUUUUAGGUGAAACAUUUUGUUCUACCUGAUAGCAAAAGUGAAAGAUUAAGCCCUUCAAACUCUAGCUCUUCCUAGGCACAUUGAGGAAAUGGACAUAUUCCUCUCACGUUUGGGGACUGACAUUUCAACAUCGAGGUCAAUGCUUGGGUUUAAGGAUUUCUUUGGCCUCUGGCUGGGAUUUUAUUGGGGUUGAAAGACAGAGCUUGUGAGUGUUUUAUUAGCUAUUCCUUUACCUUUGAAGGAACAUCUAUUGUUUAUUAGUUUAAGAGAAGUGCAAAUGAUACGUUGAGUUCUUGUUUAAUAACUUCCCCAGUGCUCCAACACAAUGGCAACUUAAUCUCAAUGUAGGGUGCUCUCUGGAGCUGGAGAAGAUUCCAAAAUCAUGGGAAAAGAAGCAUGCAAACUUCCAUCCCCUUGUGCAGGAGAAGCCUGUGACAGAGGGGCUGUGGACACUGGUGGUGGGGUCUUGCAGAGUGUCAAAUAAUUUUGACUAAUAGCUGAAUAUGUUAAAAAAAACACCAAACAUGUUUGGUGCGUCUCCUCAUGGAUCAUUCACAAGCAGUAAAUUAAACAUUGUUUUGCUG